AAAGUUCUGUUAACCUUGGUGGAAGGAGCCGGGAGGCCUCUGGAUGGGAAUAGCUCCCAUUUCUGAGAGGACUCAUCACACCUAAUUUGAGUAAUUUCCUUUUCAAUUUCCUGGGCCAUUUUAUUUUACCUCUGGCUGCCCCUUGGAUGAGUGUACCAGCUGUCAACUUGAUACAGGCUGGAGUCAUCUAAGGAAAGCCUUGAUGUAAAGAUUGUCUAGAUCAGAUUGGCCUGUGGACUUUUCUGAGGACGUUAUCUUGAUUAUGAACUAAUGCAGACAGUUCUUUGUGCGCAGCAGCAGUCCCUGGGAAGAUGGUCCUGAGUUGUAUAAGAAAGUUAGCAGUUUCCUUUGCUGUGAUAAAACACCAUCCCAAAAGCAACUAGGAGAGAAGGGUGUGUGUCAUCUUACAGCUUGUAAACCAUCAUCCAGGAAAGGCAGGGAAGGAACUCAAGGCAGGUACCUAGAGAAAGCACUUGAAGCAAUUAGAAGAUUGAAUCAUUACCACUGCUGGGUUGAUAAUCAUUUCUCAGGCUGUCUUUUGGCAAAGAGCAAGCUACAUUUUACAUUGCUUGAGUCACAAUGGUCAGUCUUCUCAAACGGAAGACUUCAAGGAAAAAGAAACUUGGAGUAAGAUGAAAGAAGAAAGAGGAAAGACAAGAAAUCAAGAACUCCAAAGGUCACAAGGCAGGAACAUAAGAAAAGAAAUAAAAUUUUUCUCUUUGUAUUAAAAUUUUUAAUAUUAUAAUGUAAUAAUUAUACUAUAAAUAUCAGGGAACAUCUCUAUUGUCAGCCUCGUCUUUUUGGUGGGCAUGUGAGUUGUCAAAAGAUCAGCUUCCAUACUGGGCAAUGCAUUAUGGCUUACAUAAAGUUUUAUUUAUGUAGAAAAUACUCUGUUAAGUAUUGCAGUAUGGAAGGCUUAUUACUGAUGGGUCAAGAAUAAAACUGAUCCCCAAUAUGGAAAUCAGUAUAGCAAUUCUUUAGAAAAUUAAAAUAACUACAAUAUGAUCCAAAUAAGUGUUUAACUGAAAGAUGCCCAGUGAAUGAAUCACACAGAUAACUGCAUAAUAUUUCCACUGAACCACU